ensembl:lncRNA
UCAUAUUUCUGCUAGCAGUUUACACCUUUUGCCUACCCUCUUCAACCUUGUAUAUCCAAUCACCUUCAAACUGUAUUUACACUGAAGCUCUGCCUUCCAUAUCCCCUGAAUGUGGGGGAGUGAGCAGGGCCUGUAGUUUGUGUUUCCAACCAAAAACAUCUUUGCUGCUAAACCUUGCUGUCCAUUGAGGUAGGUGGCAGCACCAAGGAUUUUGGAUUCACAAAGGCGUAAAGCAGUGAGGAUUUUUCAGAGCUCUGUAAUCCAAAACCCUGUUGAGACUAGGCCUGAUAUGAAUGCUGUAUCAGUGGCUAAGGGCGUUAUAAAUAACUGUGCUCUGCAAUUUCUAUUACCACUUUUUUGGUACUUUUCCUAAUAGAUAAUACAGUGGUUGCACCUGCCACCACCAAAACCACGUCAGGAAUCCCAGCAGGCCCUUCUAUGAUUUUUACCAAUUCUAUGGAUAUAAUGGGACUCAAACUAGACUUUUCACUAGGCAUGUGGUCCAAGGAUGGUUCAGUACACGUCCUUUCACCCAUACUUUAAAGAGCCAUAGUGCUCUUUAGUACCUUCCUUACUGUCAAGGAAAAUAAGCUGCUGUUGCAUACUUUGUUUUACCACUGCUUUUUCCUUAUCUUAAAUUUCUGAUCUUUGCUGUGAUUCUGAGUUCCCUUGAGUUCCAGCUCCCUGAUCUCCUAUUUUGCAUUGAAGGCUCUUCCAUCUUUUGACUGUUUGUGAUGAAUUCUUUUCAGUUCUGAAGGGGCCCAGAGCCGUAUUUCUCUAGAAGAAUGCUCUGGGAUUGGUAACUUGAAGUGAGUGUUUCUGGAAAGCGUCCAAGGGCAACCAUAUAGUGGGGUACUCUUUCUUUCUCCAGGAAUAUGCUGCUUACAGACUACCCAUAAUAUAUGCUUGUUUAACACCCUCUGGUGAAUUUAUUCCCUGAGUGUGUCACCUUGGUUUUUAAGCCAGCUAGUGCUUUUAGCCUCUGCAAAGUUCCUGUGUAUGCCCAGAAGAUCUCUAUUUAGACAUGGAAAGUAUUUUAUUUUGUUUUGAGCCUGUGGCCUCUCCCUUUGUAGUCGCCUACAUCCUAGUACUGUAUGAUGUGGCAAAUAAUUGGCCCUGAGGUCAACCAGCUUUAGUUUUACUGAUCUCUUUUGCUCCCUCCUUUAGUGUCUGCUUUCUAAAUAGAAAGGUUUCUAGCACGGCCAAUGCCUCCCCAAGGAGAACUCUUCCCCUUGCUCUGUACCUUUUGCUUCCUUAUCUUGUUCACUUUUACUGUGCUCUGUGCCCGAGCUUGCCUCAGGCUCUGAACACAAACACCACCCCACUUUCUCCUCCUUUGAGUCAAUCCCAGGUGCCCAGAUGUCUUCUGGCAUGCAAAUCUGUUCCUGUGGAAGAACAGAAAGCGGAGCAGUGCUUGCCCACCUGCAGCAAAGGAAGCCAACAGGACAGGAUGUUUUGUCAGAACAAACUCUGACAGCUUCUCCAUUUAGUUCACCUAGAUAGGAGUUUCACUGCUCACACACGAGAGAGAGGACCUUUUGCUGGUCAAUGUUACACCUAGUGUGGCAAAGACUUGUUUGGUAUUUUCAGAUGCCUUCAAAUGCCUGAUUUGAGUCAUUUGAAACCAUAAACCCUGCAAGUGUAUGGAUGCUUCUAGGAAUGUCCAUCCCAUUACUCUUCUAGGAGUCUACACCAUUACUCUUCUAGGAAGAAUUUGUAGGUCUGGAGGUCUCCUGGAAAUCUGAUGCCGAAUAGGUAGUUUCUUCAAGCAACUUUUGAAGCAUCUUGUUGCAUUUUUAAAGCAGAAGUGACACCUAGUGUUGAGGAGAGGUCAUUGUCUAUCACGUUUGUACAUGGACCAGGAUGCUGAGCUGGUUAGGAGAGCAACUGGGUGAUGAGGUGUGUGAGAAGGACAAGAUGCUGGAUUUGUUUUCUGAAUGUGACACUUUUGUGAGCUUGAGAGUCUUAACCAAACGGGGUGCUAUAAAGCUAAGACCUUCCAGGUAUCUUUGUUUGUUUGUUUGUUUUUUUCUAGUAUUGAGCUCCCAGUUAGUCUAAGCCAAUAAGUCUAAGUAAGUCACCCAGUAAGUCUAAGGGGGACUGCAGCAAACAGAGAAAAUCAAUAAAUUAAAAAAAAAAAAAAAGAAGAAUCUGUGUAAGAUGCAAUUAUGCAAAAAAAAAAGAAGGCGUCUUUUUCCUCAAGGGGUUGGAAGCGAAUGGUAUUGAUUUGUGUUUUAGUGGGUGGGCCGUCCAUAGCCCACAUAGGGUAUUCUGUGGUCUGGUCAUAUGUUGUGUGUUCAGAAACUUUUUUGUUUCCCAAGAAACAGAAGUCUGAUCAAGAAGUGCAGAAGAGAGACUGGCAAAGAAUUGUUUGACCACCACUAGCUAGCACCAAAAGAAGUUAAGAACAAACCAAAACCUCCUCCAAUAAAACACUGUCCUGGUGCCUUGCAUCCACAACUACCAGGAAAAAUAAGCAAAUGGGGAGAUGCAGUUCAUGUAUAAAUUACCACCCUGCCUGCCUACCAACCCCAAUUUAAAGUAAGGAAUAAGUAAAGAUGAGUAGUUACUGAGAUAAAAGCUAAGGUAUCCACUGUGGUAUGUGGAUAAAGAACCUGCUACUAAAAUAGUGUGAUCUUGAAGCACUUAGUGAGGCGAUGAAGCUAUAUUUAUUAAGCCUGGCAUUAAAAAGACUGGAGGAGAGGAGAGUCUAAUUUCUGUCUGUCACUACCUAAAGAGGGUGUUGGGCAACAGAACGAGACUCAGUUGAGGUACAAAACAAAAAGACAGGAGGCAAUGGAGGUGGUAGAAACCAGCUGUAGAAUGGGAAAUUCUGUCUGGACGUUAACAGGAAGUCUUUUUCUGAGAGUGGUUCAGCACUGCCCAGCUGGGCAGCCUCUGUCCUUUGGAGAUGUCUGGAAGUAGCCUGGAGCAGACUCCUUGCUGCUUUGAGGUGCUGCUGAUCGCCUGCUGCUGAAGUCUGAGGUAGGAUUUGACCAUGCAAUAAGCUCAGCCUCUGUUUCUAUAAUGAGAACCUGGUAGUGUUUCUACUGGAAUUUCAUUCUCCUGUGCAAAAGCAGUCUUUGUUUCUUGUCCUUGCUCACCCUGUAUGAGUAAUGUUUGUCUAUUUUUGUUAUGUACUCUAAGACUUACAGAUGGAAAAGCAACAUGCCAACAUGCUGCAGUAUUUUUCAGAUGGAAUAAAAGCAAUGCUUUUAAUAUGGGUCAUGCUGCCAGGUCCUCUAAAAGCAUUUUACUGUGGUUUUUGUUGUUUUUUAAUGGCUGGAGUAGAUCCAGGCUUAUGGUGAAGUCUUCCUUCUGGAUACGUGCACAUCUUGCUAGACUUGACCUGAUUGUGAUGGAUUUUCAUGAAAGCUGUACUUAGUUUUUCCAGCGCGUUCAUCUUUUACUUUAGUGCUGCUAUUUCUUAUGACUUGCUGUAUGUUAUGUUAUUUGACAGUCUUUUUGCAGGCUGUGUGCCUGGCAUGAAUUUACAACUCAGCUUGCUUAAAAGUGGACAGGCUGUGGAGACGUACCUGAAGUGUGAAGCAGCUGUGUGCCAACACCAGCAGGGAAAAAACAGGAGGAGUCAUUUGAUGAAUAUUUUAAAAUCACUUGCUUUUCAGCACAGUGCUGAGCCAAAAGUAGGGUAGAGUCUCUGUCUUCAGCUAUGGUUAUUUACUGCUUGAUUGCUUGUUUCUGAAACAGUAUGCGGUUUGGAUGAAGGAAAAUAUUAGGGUUGCCAACGGUCAGGAUCUGUGUUAUCUUUUGUCACUAGUACUAGAUCUAGAUCAUUUGGUUGUAUGUGUAAAACUUUUCCCGUUCUGUUCUCAAAAAAAUCAGAUUAAAUUCAUCACAGAAAGAAUUGUUUCAGAGAUACCUUUGCUAACAUGCAGAGCCUUUUCAAGCAAGCAGAUAGAUCUGAUACUUGAAGAAAAAUGCAAUGGUUCUGCUUUUUGGCCUAUGGCUACCUGGUGACGACUGUCUCUUCUUGGAUAUGGUCUGUGUGCUGUUGUGCUGUUUGAGUCAAGGAGAACACAUUCAGAUGGGUGCCCUGGCAGAGCUGCCAAGUGACUAUAGCGAUGUGACUUCGUGCUGUUCCAAGGUUGUCAUCCAACUUCUACAGCAAGAAAUCUGAACUACAGAAGUAUAGCUGAAAAGGCCAAAAACGCCAUCUAUGAGAAUGCAAACUUCCAGGGAUCCUCCAAAGAAUUAGCCAGUGACACUGCCAAUCUGAAAGAUGUGCAUUGGAAUGGCCGUCUCCUCAGUAAAAGUAAUAGAACAGCUUUGGGUGGCUUAUGAGCACUUCAGCUAUGCAGGCCAGGUAUUGGUAUUUGAGGAGGGGCAACAUAGAUUUGCUGGUGAACAGUGAAAUGACAAGAUCACUUUCCUGCACAUGAUCUGCAGAUCUGCAGAUCAGUCUAUGAACAUGCUCAGUAUUGAGGGAAGAGUAGGGUGAUAACAGAAACAACCAGCCUGGGUUGGGGACAUGCCACUGACAUUGUCACCAAGUCCAGAGAGGUGCACAGCCGUUGUAUGAACACAGAGACGUGAUUUAUGCUAGAUUGCAUGAGAAUAUGAACACCUUCCAUGUUACAACACAAUUUCAAUGACAAGCUUCCAUUUAUACAUCUACUUCUGCCACAGGCAGAUUAAGUAGCUGGUGUGCCAAGCAGUGACAGAGGCUAUAACCACCGAAAGCAAGCAAGGUAUCCCAGCAAGCCUAUCUUCACCACUUCCAUGGACAUCACUGGAUACAAAGGACACCUUUCAUGGGUCAAAUAGGCAAAUGGGAUGAGGACAAGGAGGGCGCUGAAGAAACUUUGUGUGUUGCACACCACAGAUGUGCUCUGAGGACCACCCACUGCUCAGCGUUCCUUCAGGAUUGUGACUGUGUUUCUAUUCUUUACCUCCAAAAGAAUACACUAAAAACUACAUGACAGACUAAGUUUCAAUAUAAUUUGAAUUAUUAAUUUCAUUUGCAUAUGAAAUAUGCAAGGCUUUAUUACAGAUGUAGGCUCACUGUUUCAGGAACUGUUUUGACAUGUACAGGCUUAUCUGGAGAAUUUGGAGUUGCAGUUCCAAAUGACACUGCUAAAUGGCAUCUGCACUCUGAGCCAUACUGUAGAAGUUGUUGUGCAGCUCUGCAUUUUAAAUCUCAUCCGUCUCAGUGCUGAGAUCCUGCUCUUGCAUUCAUAGCUGGACACAGAGCCUAUAAGCAUGCAGGGUGAUCGGCUGCUGGGCUUUGACCUGUUUAAAAACAAACACAGCAGGAUCUUUUGACGUGUCAGCACUCUGUGGUCCUUUCCAAGGCUCCUGGAGGUAGAUGCAAAGAUGACAAUUCAGGCUUCAUGUGGUAUAGGACACUUCUUACUAAUAUGUGCUCAAUUUCUGAUUUUCUUGCUUUAUUCAUCACAGGUCUUCUAAAAGGGUUUCAAGAUUCAAGUGAGAGAACUCUGAGUAUCGUCCUUACUAUAGACCAAAAUAACUAGGACAGUAUGAAGCCAGCUGUGCCAAAAGGAAGAAGUGUUACCAUGAGACAGAGGGGAAGGAUCUAACAUUGGUGUGUUCAAAUGCAGACUGUGGCAGUGGUGCGAGUGUACUGUGCAUGGUGUUCUCAGCCUGCUCAGUAAGGCAGAUCAGUCUGGCUGUAUCAUCACUGUUAGGUUUCUUCCAGAGGGCCUAAGCACAACACUUCGUGCAAUAUAUAAGAAAACUGCAGAACAUCAAUGCAUGUAAUGUUUUUAAUCCUGUUACUAAUGUAACUUUCCAUUAUUAAUACCUUUUGGAGUAACAAAUCUAGGUGGCUGAGGUCAUCAUCUUCUGUCCAAACAAAUCUGCAAAAUAAAUGAUGUUGGAAAUCCUACUGAAUUGCCAUGAUGGUGUCUCAGGGUUCCCUUUCAGCAUCUUGGCAUGAUAUUGACAACAUAUGGGUACAGUUGAUAGGCCUGAAAUUAUUCAGGGUGUCUCUAAUUUGAUUUCUAGGAAAUGUGCAUAACAGUAUUUACUUCAUGUAAAGCAUCACUUAGGAAGGAAUGUAUUCUCUUAUUCUCUUGGCAUAUAUAACUGAAAUUUUCUUUAUUGUUGGAACAUUUCCAACUCUGAUAAGCAUCAUCUCUGCAUUUAAGUUUUCCCUGUAUUUUUGAUGACAUUACCUUAUAUGAUUUAUUUUAC